rnacentral:rRNA from 1 species
UACGGAGGGUGCUAGCGUUGUUCGGAAUCACUGGGCGUAAAGCGCGUGUAGGCGGCCUGUUAAGUCUGAUGUGAAAGCCCGGGGCUCACCCCCGGAAGUGCAUUGGAAACUGCCAGGCUCGAGUCCCGGAGAGGAGGGUGGAAUUCCUGGUGUAGCGGUGAAAUGCGUAGAUAUCAGGAGGAACACCAAUUGCGAAGGCAGCUCGCUGGGACGUUACUGACGCUGAGACGCGAAAGCGUGGGGAGCAAACAGG